rnacentral:rRNA from 1 species
UACGUAGGGUGCAAGCGUUGUCCGGAAUUAUUGGGCGUAAAGAGCUCGUAGGCGGUUUGUCGCGUCUGCUGUGAAAACUCGGGGCUUAACUCCGGGCCUGCAGUGGGUACGGGCAGACUAGAGUGCGGUAGGGGAGACUGGAAUUCCUGGUGUAGCGGUGAAAUGCGCAGAUAUCAGGAGGAACACCGGUGGCGAAGGCGGGUCUCUGGGCCGUAACUGACGCUGAGGAGCGAAAGCGUGGGAGCGAACAGG